rfam:Flavobacteriaceae bacterium TMED116 39816, whole genome shotgun sequence.
GACUUGAUAGCUCAGCUGGUAGAGCAUCUCCCUUUUAAGGAGAGGGUCCUGGGUUCGAACCCCAGUCAAGUCA